rnacentral:rRNA from 1 species
AGUGAACGCUGGCGGUAGGCCUAACACGUGCAAGUCGAACGGCAGCACAGUAAGAGCUUGCUCUUACGGGUGGCGAGUGGCGGACGGGUGAGGAAUACAUCGGAAUCUACUUUUUCGUGGGGGAUAACGUAGGGAAACUUACGCUAAUACCGCAUACGACCUACGUGUGAAAGCAGGGGAUCUUCGGACCUUGCGCGAUUGAAUGAGCCGAUGUCGGAUUAGCUAGUUGGCGGGGUAAAGGCCCACCAAGGCGACGAUCCGUAGCUGGUCUGAGAGGAUGGUCAGCCACACUGGAACUGAGACACGGUCCAGACUCCUACGGGGGGCAGCAGUGGGGAAUAUGGGACAAUGGGCGCAAGCAUGAUCCAGCCAUACCGCGUGGGUGAAGAAGGCCUUCGGGUUGUAAAGCCCUUUUGUUGGGAAAGAAAAGCAGCAGGUUAAUACCCCGCUGUUCUGACGGUACCCAAAGAAUAAGCACCGGCUAACUUCGUG